AAAAAGGUAAGCUAAAUAAGCUUUUGGGUUCAUACCCCACUUAUGGAAAUUGAAACUCCCCUCUUUA
rnacentral:tRNA from 1 species